GCGCAGGGUCCCGGCGGGUCAAAGGCGCCGGAGACCCGGGCCUCCCGGAACCCGCUGUCAGUGCGGUCCUCUUCCUCAGCGCGGGUGUGAGCCUGGAGCUCGGAGCCCCUCCUCACUCGCCCCUCUCUGGAGCCUCGGGGAACCAUUUCAGAGGUUGCAUAGGUGUCAGGAGCGGAAGGAGGCAUAGCGGUCCGCGCACCACCGAGCCUGCGGCUUCCAUCCUUGGAAAAAGCUUGCAGCUCACCUCCGGGGUCGCGGCGGCCCCGAGCCUCUGGCCGCAGAGCGCCGGCCUCAGGUUCAAGCGCGCGCCGCGGCGGAGCAGUGGAGUUACCGCCCCCAUCCCCCCGCCUCGCGCCUCGGGGUAGCUCCUGUUUCUCCCCAGCCGCCUCCGCACUGCUGCCAGCGCCCCCUCACCCCGCCCCGCCCGGGCCGGGGCAGCCACCCCAACACCGCCAGAUCUUCUGCCUCGCAGAGCGCCCACACUCGCCAACGCCCCCUAACCCCGCCCUCCCGCCGCCACAGCAGCGGCCACGCGCGACACUGAGGACCGUGACCACAAAGAUUGAGAGACGGCUACCGUCAGGAUUGCUGGGGAGGUGCAGCCAGCCUUCUGCGCAGUGCUCAGUGCACUAUAAGGCUGAGUCCUCCCGCGCAGGCAGUUAACAAUUGUGAAAGUUCCCUUAUGAAGACCAGGAAAAAAGUUGGGCUAAACGGACAGAACACAAAUUCUCUGGGCAGCCCCGGUGGCCCAGUGGUUUAGUGCCGCCUUCCGCCUGGGAUGU